UCUGGCUAUCAUCUCAUCUAACUCUGGCAACUAGCUAAUCUCACUCUGGCAACAAUGAACUUCAUUCUUAUCCACAAACACAUAGAAAGUAAGAAAUACAUCGAGAGUAUGUCUGCUCUUAGUAAGCCCUUAACCCAGGAUCUUUAUAUGAAUCAGGAGUGGGAGCAGGAUCUGUAUCUUAUGCUGUUAUCAAGUACGGUGGUGGCGCAAGUGCAAGUACAGCAGUUUUCGUCUUCAAGUCGACCAGAGAAUGAAUCCGCAGUUCGAAAGUUGUCUACAAGAUCGGAAGCCGCAAGUGGUUAUGCAAGUGAGGGUGCUAGUGCUCUUUAUAGCCUAGUUAGUCGACUCUUAUUGCCAGGAAAGCUGUCUGCAGUGAGAGUUUCAUCCCUUGUUUCAUCUGUUCUCUUAUAUAAGUCAGUUAGUGCUUCAGAAGCGGGAAUAUCCGUUUUCUCAGAAGCGGGGCCAAGCAACUACUACAGACCAAGCUUAGUAGUUAGACCAAGUGCUGUGCCCUUAAUUCAUUUCGGUAAGUCUCUUACUUAUCAGUGAGUUGAAUUCAUUCUUUUACGAAUUACAAUAAGGGGUUGCCCUAGAUACAGAAUAGCGAUAACUAUAUUAACUCUUUGACUACGCUUAACACAUGAACUUAAGCCUACCCGCCAAGUAAGUAAACAAAGUGAGUGAACUACCCGACCCGACCUCUUCUCUUAGUUAGUAGGAUAUAGGAUUCCACUCGCCAAGUCAUUACUACAAAGACAAAGACCGGAUAUUGCUUAUGUUUCUCGGUACCAACACCCGAAAUCCUCAACCAGACUUUCACACUAAACUUCCCUUGAUGAUCCAACAAAGACAGAUGGAACUCGGAGGAUAACUGCCAACUCUCGGCACAACUUACAAUAAGGGCCUCUACAUUCCCUAUGGAUACCCUAUCUCUAAUUCAUUCCUUAUACCCUAUCUCUAAUUCAUUCCUUAUAUAUAUAUGCCCGAUCUUGAAAAGCACUCUCCGAAUACAGGACUUGGGCAUAACAGCAAAUAAUGUAUUUCUCUAUGAGCCUAGUAACUUCAUGAAACAAGUAAGUAAACUAAGUCAGUAAACCUACCCG
rnacentral:lncRNA from 1 species